rnacentral:lncRNA from 1 species
GAGCAUUCAUUACUGUCCUUUGUCAUUUAGUACUUCCUUUUCAUUCAUAAGAAUCUACCCAAGGUAGUCCAACUUGCGCCGCGCCUAAUGGCCCCGUGGUAGUAUACACUCCCCACGGCAAUCCACUUCGGCACCCAAUCCCGCACGGGCGAGCAACUGUCGCGUAGGCCAACUCCGGAGUGCCGGCUUGUAGGGAGCUACCCUCACAAGCAUGUGCGAAUGAGCACGAUGGCAAGCAAGCAUAAUCCACAGUCCAACAUGUCUCAAUUAUCAUGUUUUAACUCACAAUAUUCUCGCUCUCGAUCCUUUGAUCGACAUUUCAGUAUAACAAAUAUUGAUAACAACUAGUAUCCACUAG